rnacentral:rRNA from 1 species
AUUGAACGCUGGCGGCAGGCCUAACACAUGCAAGUCGAACGAGUGGCGGACGGGUGAGUAAUGUCUGGGAAACUGUCCGAUGGAGGGGGAUAACUACUGGAAACGGUAGCUAAUACCGCGUACCAUCGGAUGUGCCCAGAUGGGAUUAGCUGGUAGGUGAGGUAACGGCUCACCUAGGCGACGAUCCCUUGCUGGUCUGAGAGGAUGACCAGCACCACUGGAACUUAGACACGGUCCAGACUCCGACGGGAGGCAGCAGGGGGGAAUAUGGGACAAGGGGGGCAAUCCUGAUGCAGACAUGCUGCGUGUAUGAAGAGGGCCUUCGGGUUGUAAAGUACUUUCAGCGGGGAGGCGUUACCCGCAGAAGAAGCACCGGCUAACUCCGUGCCAGCAGCCGCGGUAAUUC